GGUUGCCAGACCUGGGGAGUGGAUGGGGAGGCUGGAGUACUGGCCGACAUGAAGGAGCUGGGCAUCUGGGAGCCCACUGGCUGUCAAAACUGCAAACCUACAAAACUGCAGUGGAGACGGCCAUUCUGCUGCUCCGCAUUGAUGACAUUGUAUCCGGCCACAAGAAAAAGGAGAAAGACCAUGGCAGACAGCCAGCAGGCAGCCCCAGAGGCACCCCCAACAAAGCAGAAUGAGGGGUGCAGCUAUAGAACGGAUUGGCGCAAACAUCCCACAAGCACUUCAACAGCUGUUUGGUUUUUUUUUAAGCGGUUAACUCCACCCUCAGCCUCUGUACCGUGAAUUGGAGGGGUGGAGACAUUUCUAUUUAUUAAGGUCUGGGAGAAGCAUGACGGGAGGCUUAGGGGAGAUAUAGAAAGCAAAAACAUCUCUGUUUAUAUAACGAUCUGCUACAGACAAUAAAACUUCAUUUGGAUUCCA